AUUGAACGCUGGCGGCAUGCCUUACACAUGCAAGUCGAACGGUAACAGGUCUUCGGACGCUGACGAGUGGCGAACGGGUGAGUAAUACAUCGGAACGUGCCCAGUCGUGGGGGAUAACUACUCGAAAGAGUAGCUAAUACCGCAUACGAUCUGAGGAUGAAAGCGGGGGACCUUCGGGCCUCGCGCGAUUGGAGCGACCGAUGGCAGAUUAGGUAGUUGGUGGGAUAAAAGCUUACCAAGCCGACGAUCUGCAGCUGGUCUGAGAGGACGACCAGCCACACUGGGACUGAGACACGGCCCAGACUCCUACGGGAGGCAGCAGUGGGGAGUUUUGGACAAUGGGCGAAAGCCUGAUCCAGCAAUGCCGCGUGCAGGAUGAAGGCCUUCGGGUUGUAAACUGCUUUUGUACGGAACGAAAAAGCUCCUUCUAAUACAGGGGGCCCAUGACGGUACCGUAAGAAUAAGCACCGGCUAACUACGUGCCAGCCGCCGCGGUAA
rnacentral:rRNA from 1 species